rnacentral:misc_RNA from 1 species
GCUGUAAACAAUGAAAACUUUGCACGUGUUGCUGUUAAACAUAAGCUCCAUGUGCAUCUUCGGCAUGGGUCAAGUGCUCUGGAAAAGCAGGUGUGCUAUCUUGUUCCUUUUGUAGCAAAGCAGUCUCAUUGGUGUUUUCUUAUUUAACUUGCCUAAGUUGCUUUUUUCAAUGUUGACAUUUUGAGGACUUGUAUAUCAGAUUCGUGAUUUUGUGAAGGA